GAUGAACGCUGGCGGCGUGCCUAAUACAUGCAAGUCGAGCGAAUGGAUUAAGAGCUUGCUCUUAUGAAGUUAGCGGCGGACGGGUGAGUAACACGUGGGUAACCUGCCCAUAAGACUGGGAUAACUCCGGGAAACCGGGGCUAAUACCGGAUAACAUUUUGAACCGCAUGGUUCGAAAUUGAAAGGCGGCUUCGGCUGUCACUUAUGGAUGGACCCGCGUCGCAUUAGCUAGUUGGUGAGGUAACGGCUCACCAAGGCAACGAUGCGUAGCCCACCUGAGAGGGUGAUCGGCCACACUGGGACUGAGACACGGCCCAGACUCCUACGGGAGGCAGCAGUAGGGAAUCUUCCGCAAUGGACGAAAGUCUGACGGAGCAACUCCGCGUGAGUGAUGAAGGCUUUCGGGUCGUAAAACUCUGUUGUUAGGGAAGAACAAGUGCUAGUUGAAUAAGCUGGCACCUUGACGGUACCUAACCAGAAAGCCACGGCUAACUACGUGCCAGCAGCCGCCGUAA
rnacentral:rRNA from 1 species